CUGUCACUAAGGGCCUCUGGUCAUGAAAACUUGUGAUGCUAGGGGAAUGAGAGUCCUGGGGAUUCUGAUGUUGGCUUCAUCUCUUCCCUGGGUAAAGACUGCAACACACAACACAGCAGUUGGCCGACCCGCCAUCAUGAGUAUCAGAGGGAGCUGUGUGUCCGACAGCUAGACAGGAUAUUUGUGACAGCUCCAUCAGGCACUAACUGUGUGACCUUGGGCAGAAUACUUAAUGCCGGAGCCUUCAUCGGAUCACAGUAAUAAAACAGUAGUCACUGCAUCCCGGGAUUCCGCCAGUCGCCAGAGGCAAGGCUAUCUAGAGAAUAAAAGAGGAAGCUGCGAGUUCAGUGCAGAUGGACAAUUGGGAAGAUUGGAUACCCCUUAUUCAUUCCAGGGUCCCACCUGCGAGGCUGCAACAGAACGCUUAAGUCUGGAUAAUUUACCAAAGCCCAUCAUGAACACUGCAGCCAGUGUUCCCUGCCUGAUAUCAAUAUUGAACUUCCUGGUUGAACUUGGGUGUUGCUGGAGGCAUUCCUGAGUGGAGUGGGAGAGGAGUCCAUGAAGCCAUAUUACUGGACGCUCCCAUCUCUUCAUAAGAGCAUCAACAGUCAGAAGAAGGAGAGAGAAUCCAGGAUGUUCAUUUAUCCAAGGACAGCUUGAAGAUGCCUAUCUAGGCUUGGGGUGGGCUGACCUCAUGAAGGGGAUUCUGCUGCUCCCCACACCUGCUCACCCACAGCACAACCAUAGUGUGUCUUCCUGUCUUCCAAAUGGGAGCAGAGGCCUUUCGCAGGCAGCCAGAAUGCUUUGCCAUCCUGCUACACAGGCAUGUGCAAGCCUCAAAUGCAUACUUUCCCUGUCUGCCUGUGCCUUUGUCCCUUGGGAGUCGGGGUAGAUCCCUUGAGAGUCAUGUCAAGAGCCAGGCGCCAGCAGUAAGUACUGCCUUACAUCCAUAUCUGAGUUCCAGCCUGCUGUGAGGUUGGUGAGCACUAAGGACAUGAAGACUCCAUCGCCGGGGAGAGGGGGCGCGUGCCAUCCCAGCCCUCUCUAAGCUUGCCAUCUAUGUCUACCUGGCUUCCUGACCUGAGGCCUCAGAGAACUGAGUUUUGUGCCUGGGAGGGCAGCGGUGAUAAGUUAUCCAGGAGAACCCAGCUAUGUGAACAUGAGGAGGUUCUAGCUGUUGAGAUGGCUUGGUUUCCUCAUCCACGACAGAAUGCUGGGACCCAAGUCAUCCCCAUGCACUAGGGCUGGCACUGCUUGCCACUCAAUCUGCCUCAGAGGUCAUUGCUGUUUGUCACCAUUUCUAUGGUGGCUCUGAAGGGGGUGACUAUGUCUGCAGUAUAAUGGGACAACAGUGCUCUACUAUGCUGUUCAGUCUCAGGGCCAGCUUUGGAGCCCACACACACAUCUUCACGGCCUGGGCUCUGUCUACAGGCCUCAUGCCUUCCCAUAACCUGAAAGGGCUCCUGAGCUGCAAGGCCAUCGCCAUCAUUGGGUAAUGCUGGCAAAUGCAGUGGCACCCAGGAACACCAGGGUUACUUUGGGACAAUCCUUGGAGGGUAAAGCUUGGGUAGCCAGUCCUCUUCAGUACUCUGAUGGCACUUGACAAGGUUAGGGUGCAGUUAUCUGUCACCUUCCUCAGACUCUGCCCGAGCUCUCACAGAUGCCAGACUAGUGCUAAAUGCUAGGCACUAGUGUUUGGUGCUGGGUGCUGGGUACUGAAUACUGGGUAUUUAGACAGAGUAGAUGCUCUGUGCCCACAGACACAGACCUAGGGACAAUUGAGAAAGGCAAACAAAAGGGAGUGAAACAAAACAAGCUUUUAGAUUCCCUACAUACAGACGGUGAGGUAAUCCCUUCUCUUUAGCCAUGUGAAGCAAGGAUGGAUGUUUGUUGCAUGAAGAAGGACUUAUUCCGUUGGCACAUAUCUUAGCUUCAGUUUCCACUCGCCUCGCCCUGUGUGUGUGUGUGUGUGUGUGUGUGUGUGUGUGUGUGUGUGUGUGUGUGUGUGUGUGUGUGUGCUGCCUCCCUGGCUGGCCAGGGCCAGCCCAUAGCCACUGCUGCUGCUUGACAGCUGGAUGUCACUUCCCCCAAAGAACACAUCAUUUGCCCAGUUGUCUGGGGGCAGCUGUGCACACAGCCUGACUGCUGUGUGACCUUUGGCUACUUCACUUCCUGCUUUGGAUUCCAUGAGCUGUCUCUCAAGCCUCCAAGCCUGGACAGUCCCUGGUGCAAGAACCCAGAGGUCAGAGAAGGUAGAGAGAUCUCCCUGUUUCUCAUGUCACCCCUGGCUCAGGUGCCAACCAGGCAUCCCACACUCGGGCAGCCAGGUAACCAAGGUCGGAAGGACACAAGUUAAACAUUGACUCUGAACACUAUCAAACACCCUGGUUUCCAUCCCCCCUGGUCAUCCCCACAGGGAUAAUAAAAAUCACACAACCAAAGCAAGGUUCAGAGGAGCCUUUUCUGAACUGGACUGACCCCAAUUAGCUGAGUGACCUUGGGUACUUUCCUGUCCACGUGACUUAGCUGGCUCCCCCUUGGUGUGAGCCUGGAGUUCAAAGAAACAAGUGUACGGAGGACCGGUGUCACAGGGCUCUGUUCCUUGGUGGACUUGAAGUCUGGAUGGGUGGUCCAGGUCCAGGCUUCCUCAUGACCUCUGACCUCCCCACCUGUUAUCUUUGAUCUGACUUGUAAUGCAAUGCGCUCUGUCUUCCCUUCCUGGGCAUUGACACAGCCAUACAGCUCUGCUCCUGGAAACCCAACAGAUCUAUCUCCUCUGAGAACCUAGAUGCCUCCUAGGGAAGAGAGCCUUUGGGCCUCCUUCUUUUUGGCUCUGGUCUCUGACCAGAGGCAACUGCCAAUGUCUUUCAUAGUGCCUUGAGCAGCCAACAGGCACAGGACCAUAAAAGCCUGAAAUUCCACCUAGUUGUGUGCUUCCUCAGGGCAGGGCUGUAUGGAGAAGGGCUCCCAUUGCUAGCCAAGAGGCAGGCUUCAGGGGACACAGGUAGAAUCCUACAAAGACCGCCAAUCCCAAAAGACCUCUGUGUGGUGAGUCUGUGGUCAUGUGGUAACCUGACUCCAGAAAAGCUGAACCCCACCACAGUAAGAAGGAAGAGGGGUUCCCCAUGCUGUGCUUCAUCCAGAUGCAAGGGCACACAAGAGUGCCUCUGUGGAGAGUGACUCUGACCUGGUCGUGCCUCAGUAAGUGCUCCCGUCAUUAAGACCAGGUGGACGUCACACCCAGCACCGUGGCCUCUGUGCCUUUCCUAGCAGGGCCUCUGUGUCCUUCCCAGCAGCUUCAUGUGCAUCUGCCCUUGGUUUGUUUUUGUUUCUGACCUGACUGUCUGCCUAGGCUUCCCUGAGGCCCAGGGAGGGGAAAGCCAGUAGAUAUCUGCUUUUCUGGCUGCCCUCAGGAACCUGUGAAGCAACUUGAGUAAAUUACUUUCACCCCUGUCAAGUCUCCCAUCCUGCCAGCCUCGGGGUGAGGGGCAGAGUGAGGAGCACUAGCUCUGAUAAAGUGAGGAAAACAAGCUGGGGGGGAGCACGCUUACUGCAGAUGCCCCUUCUCUUUCCUCUGGUUGGGGCUGGGAUGCGGGUCUGUCAUGGAGGGCUGGCUAGAAAGUCCCAGUGCCACUUGGCUGGAUUUAGCAUAGCAUCCUUCCCUGUUCUGCUUCUUUAAGAGAAACCGGAGGCUAACAUUUAUUGGCUGCUACGGUCAUGCUGCAUGUGUGGCUUUGGUGUUUACAGGCCUGGAGAGAGUGGUGCAGAGGAGGUGCGUUGGAGUAUGGGUAGAGAAUACUGCCAUUCAUGGUGGUGACUGGGGUAGGACUUGGUGUGUAGCCCAGGGGACUAAGAGGCUUGUGCUUAUAAAAGCCCAGUGCCAGGAUAGAGGUCCUUCUAUGUGGGUUAUAGGUGGAGAAGGGAAUGAGAGAGGCCUUGUCUCUUCCAUGUGCCUUGGCCCUGGAACUAGAGACUCUGUAGCAGGUUGGCUACAGGGGCUAGUGGGCUGUUACCUUUGAGUAUAGGGCACCAGAGAAUGGACAUGGUUUGUCCUCAGAGCCUAGAGCAGACCAAGAUCCCAAAACCAAACCAGGUUGCAGUGUGAGCCUUGUUAAUGGAAAGGGGGUAUUGGGAGAUGACUCAGGAAUACGUGGGGUGUCCAGUAGCCAUUGUACGUCAUGGCCAAAGCCUCUCGUGUCUGAGUAUUCAUUACUUAUCUGGUUUUGAGUGGUAGAUCUAGUCCUAGGGUGUUAUGGGAACUCAGUUCAUGAAAAGUGCUGGACUUUGUUCCCACAUGCACUAGUAGUUCAUAUGUUCUCCACACCCACCCACUAUUGCUAAUUGCUACGCAUGCUACCUUGCACUGCUUUGCCAGCUAUGGAGUGGUGUCGGUUGCAGCAGGGGCUGAACACCAGGAAGAUCUCCUUUUAUGUCUUGUUCUUUCUAACUAGAGGACAGUUCUCUGUUAUGUCACUCAAGAUUGGAGGAUGUGACUUACAGGUAUUAUCAACCAGGAACCAAGCCAAGUUACCUGUGUCAAUAUGCUACAAAAUGUUUCUUUUGAUCAUUAACCUUUAAUUGUGAGAAUAUUCAAGUAUAUGUAAAAAGAUUAAAUGGUCUCUUGUCCCUAUCACCGAGUUACAGUUGAUGUUUACCUGUUUACUGUGUGUGUGUGUGUGUGUGUGUGUGUGUGUGUGUGUGUGUGUGAGAUGUGCAUGCAUUAUGUGUGUAUGCUUGUAAGAGGUGGCUGAUGUUUGGUGUUGUGUGUCUGACUCAAUUGCUUUUCAUGUUGUGUUUUGAGAGUCGUUGAAUCUCUCACUGAACCUGGAUCUCGCCAGUUCAGCAGGUCAGGCUGGCAGCAAGUCCCAAAGAUCCUCUCCCUCUGCCUCUUCCCCUGCCUGUCUCGCCAGUGCUGAUCUACCCGUGCACACCCGUUCCUGGCCUUUACAUGGGUUCCAGAGAGCCCUGUUCAGGUCUUCAGGCUUGCAUGGCGAUCACUUUACUCACACUAACCCCCCUCUUACUGUUUCAAUCCAUUCCUUCUGGCUUUCUGCUCCACCUUCACACUUUUCUUUAUCUUCCUCCUCCUCUGGCUUUUUUUUUGUCUUCUCUAUUCUUUCCUCCUUACUUCUGACUAGAGUAUCUAAAACAAACUUCAGACAUUAUAUCAUUCACGUAUACAUACCUAUGUGCUGUCUGCCUA